rnacentral:rRNA from 1 species
UCCUACGGGAGGCAGCAGUAGGGAAUAUUGCUCAAUGGGGGAAACCCUGAAGCAGCAACGCCGCGUGGAGGAUGAAGGUUUUCGGAUUGUAAAGUUCUGUUGAAGGGGAAAAAGAGCGGAGAGAGGAAAUGAACUCCGAUUGAUAUUACCCUUCGAGGAAGUCACGGCUAACUACGUGCCAGCAGCCGCGGUAAUACGUAGGUGGCGAGCGUUAUCCGGAAUGAUUGGGCGUAAAGGGUGCGUAGGCGGCCUGCUAAGUCUGGAGUGACAGGUACCGGCUCAACCGGUACAGGCUCUGGAAACUG